rnacentral:rRNA from 1 species
GAUGAACGCUAGCUACAGGCUUAACACAUGCAAGUCGCGGGGCAGCAUGGGGGUUGCUUGCAAUCCCCGAUGGCGACCGGCGCACGGGUGAGUAACGCGUAUCCAACCUGCCCUUCACCACGGGAUAACCCGGCGAAAGUCGGACUAAUACCGUAUGUUGUCCAUUGACGGCAUCCGAUUUGGACGAAAGGCUUGGCGGUGAGGGAUGGGGAUGCGUCCGAUUAGCCAGACGGCGGGGUAACGGCCCACCGUGGCUACGAUCGGUAGGGGUUCUGAGAGGAAGGUCCCCCACACUGGAACUGAGACACGGUCCAGACUCCUACGGGAGGCAGCAGUGAGGAAUAUUGGUCAAUGGGCGUAAGCCUGAACCAGCCAAGUAGCGUGCAGGAUGACGGCCCUACGGGUUGUAAACUGCUUUUAUGCGGGGAUAAAGUGGCCCACGUGUGGGCUUUUGCAGGUACCGCAUGAAUAAGGACCGGCUAAUUCCGUG